UCAAUUACGUAUAUAUUCGUCAGUGUUUGACAUCCAAUGGCUAUCCUAUACAUGACUGGAGUUGCUUAUCUCGCUGCAUAAAAGGUUUUCCUCGUCAACCAAAGAUCAGUAUAUUCUGCUGACAUUCAGAAGUAACAUUUGAACAUGAAGAUCGCUGUUGUUCUUAUAUUGGCAUUAUGCGCCUCUGCCAUGGUGAGCGCCAAUAGCUGCAGUGACAAUUGUUUAGCAAAAUACACGGCGUGUGAGCAAAGUUGCCGAGACAUGUGGGCCCACUCUCACCAAUAUGACACGUGUGCCACUAGCUGCACCGAUGAGCGCGCAUUUUGCGACUCAAAAUGCCACGGCGGCCAUGGGAAAUAGUUUAUAAUGUUAGUGUCUUAUUUUGUACCUCAAUCGCAUCAGGAAUAAAUUCUUGAAAAAAACUA